UUCCUCUUGUAGCUGGCACAGAAUGCUUCAGAAGGGGAAACUUUUUGCUUAAAAUCGGAAUGCCCAUAUAAGUCUAUAGAAAAGGAAGAGAGGGGUGAACGGAGAUAGACAAACAGGCUUCAGGAGCUUGUACCCACUAGUAUAUGGAGACUACACAUGAUCGGGCCCCUUGUGAGAGUCUGCCAUAUCAGUGAAGGAUUGAUGGUGCCCAGGCCAUAACUAUAGGAGAUGCAAAGAAAUACAGACAAUUCCAAUCAGAAAAGUAAAGGAUGGAAGGAGAUUGUGUUAUCAAAAGAUUUAUAGGAAGAUAAAGUCACAGCGUGUGCUGGAUUAUAUACAGGGCUGCCAUCUUGCCACAGCUAUUUUCACAGCAUUUAGAAAUGUGACUUACAGUAGGAUUCAAGGACAUGGACAAUAAUAG